GAGGCGCCCAAAGGUUCCCUCAGAAUGGUUGGAAAUCAUUCGUAGAGUGCAAAGGCAUAAGGGAGCUUGACUGCGAGACCUACAAGUCGAGCAGGGACGAAAGUCGGGCUUAGUGAUCCGGUGGUUCCGCAUGGAAGGGCCAUCGCUCAACGGAUAAAAGCUACCCCGGGGAUAACAGGCUUAUCUCCCCCAAGAGUCCACAUCGACGGGGAGGUUUGGCACCUCGAUGUNGGCUCAUCGCAUCCUGGGGCUGUAGUCGGUCCCAAGGGUUGGGCUGUUCGCCCAUUAAAGCGGUACGCGAGCUGGGUUCAGAACGUCGUGAGACAGUUCGGUCCCUAUCCGUCGUGGGCGUAGGAAAUUUGAGAGGAGCUGUCCUUAGUACGAGAGGACCGGGAUGGACGCACCGCUGGUGUACCAGUUGUUCUGCCAAGGGCAUAGCUGGGUAGCUAUGUGCGGAAGGGAUAAGUGCUGAAAGCAUCUAAGCAUGAAGCCCCCCUCAAGAUGAGAUUUCCCAUAGCGUAAGCUAGUAAGAUCCCUGAAAGAUGAUCAGGUUGAUAGGUUCGAGGUGGAAGCAUGGUGACAUGUGGAGCUGACGAAUACUAAUAGAUCGAGGACUUAACCAUAUAA
rnacentral:rRNA from 1 species